rnacentral:tRNA from 5 species
GCGAGUGUUACCGAGAGGCCAAAGGUGAUCGACUCAAGAUCGAUUCCCGUAGGGGUUCGCAGGUUCGACUCCUGCCACUCGCA